ACUUGAAUAGCUUAUUUUUAGAGCGUGACAUUGAAGAUGUCAAUGAGGUUAUUUGCCUUUAAGUA
rnacentral:tRNA from 1 species